AAUGGUUGAAUACCUUGUUUGCUGACCUUGUGACCCAGGUAGGUUACUUGAGGUUCCAUGAACACACACGUGUUUUUCCGAAGUCGUAAGCCAGCACUUGCUAGUCGUUUUAAGACUUCUUCCAGAUUGUUUAAGUGAUCUUCAUCGCAGGCUCCGGACACUAGGAUAUCAUCCACCCGGACGAUUACACAAGGAAUGUUCUGCAGUAGAUUCUCCAUGUUCCGCUGAAAUAUUCCUGGUGCUGACGAUAUCCCGUAGGGUAGGUGGUUGUACUGGAACAACCCCUUGUGUGUGUUAAUGGUGGUGUACUGUUUAGAUUCAUCAUCAAGAAGAAGCUGCUGGUAGGCUUGGCUCAUGUCCAACUUCGUGAAUUUUUCACCUCCUCCUAGUGUCGCCAGGAGGUCUUCAACCUUCGGGAUACGAUAACUGUCCAGUUUUGACACUUGAUUGACAAUUGUUUUGUAGUCUCCGCAGAUGCGAAUUGAGUCGUCUGAUUUCAAAAUAGGUACAAUGGGAGCAGCCCAUUCCGAGAACUGAACCGGUUCAAUCGUUCCCCCAUCUUGUAGCCUCUUGAGUUCAGUCUCAGUCUUCCCCGUCAUAGAAUAUGGCACUGGUCUCGCCUUCAAUAAUUUUGGUUGUGCAUCUGAUUCCACAUGAAUUUUCGCCUUUGGGCCCUUGAAGGUCCCAAGUCCUUUUCUAAACACUUCUGAGUACCGGUCAACCAAUUUUUCACGUGAAGACUCUUGGUUGUUGUUGACAACUUGCAUUUUGAACAACUCCUUCCAAUUGAGUGUCAGAACUCUCAACCAGUCCGGGGCAUUACCAGAAAUGGGUAUAUGAUUUCCUGUACUCUGAUUGGCUCACGCAAAACCUAAACAUUGCCUGGACCGCGAAAGGACUAAGACCGAGAGGAAUGGCGAGCGAAAAGAAAUCUAUGUCGGCGGGGACGUCGCAUAACAAACUACAAUAAUAAUACGGUGGAAUCCUCCCCAUCUAUUAAUCCCGUGAUCUCUGGAACCUGCGAAUAAUUCGAACUACUAGGCGUUUUCCUUGGAUUCGAUUUAUUCGUGUAAUUAAUUUUACCCCCGAUUCGAACCAAUUUUCCUCUAUCGUAUAAAAGCUUAGUUUCGAUAAAGUUAAGAUAAACUGUACUAAUGCGACUUACUUUGCACGAGGUAUCGUUUUCGCAACCCAGGACUGCCGAAGAUCAACAAAGACUAAUUUUGGCCUCGACAGCGCUGAUCACCACUUUUAAUUUAAGCUAAGCUGUUUACUGUUGCAAUAUGAAAGGUAAUCUAGCUGAAAUAUUGAUUUUAUAUCAUCUCUAUCAGGUAAUGAAGACAUUUGCAGUUAUGUGGAUUUUUGUGGAUUUUUGUGAAUUUUCUAUUCAUUUCUUUUCUUAAAUCUUAACCCUUUUUCAACAUGUGCUCUGGGGCAGUGAAUCUCAACAAUCUCAACUUUUUGUGAUUCAAUGUAGAACAGGUUAGAAUUGUUUUAAAACGGGAAAUUUAUUUCAUCCUU